CUUGCUUUCUUUGCCGGCGACCGGCGCACGGGUGAGUAACACGUAUCCAACCUGCCCUUUACUCGGGGAUAGCCUUUCGAAAGAAAGAUUAAUACCCGAUGGCAUAAUGAUUCCGCAUGGUUUCAUUAUUAAAGGAUUCCGGUAAAGGAUGGGGAUGCGUUCCAUUAGGUUGUUGGUGAGGUAACGGCCCACCAAGCCUUCGAUGGAUAGGGGUUCUGAGAGGAAGGUCCCCCACAUUGGAACUGAGACACGGUCCAGACUCCUACGGGAGGCAGCAUG
rnacentral:rRNA from 1 species